AUUGAACGCUGGCGGCAGGCUUAACACAUGCAAGUCGAGCGGGGAAGGUUGCUUUGGUAACUGACCUAGCGGCGGACGGGUGAGUAAUGCUUAGGAAUCUGCCUAUUAGUGGGGGACAACGUUCCGAAAGGAACGCUAAUACCGCAUACGCCCUACGGGGGAAAGCAGGGGAUCUUCGGACCUUGCGCUAAUAGAUGAGCCUAAGUCGGAUUAGCUAGUUGGUGGGGUAAAGGCCUACCAAGGCGACGAUCUGUAGCGGGUCUGAGAGGAUGAUCCGCCACACUGGGACUGAGACACGGCCCAGAAUCCUACGGGAGGCAGCAGUGGGGAAUAUUGGACAAUGGGCGCAAGCCUGAUCCAGCCAUGCCGCGUGUGUGAAGAAGGCCUUUUGGUUGUAAAGCACUUUAAGCGAGGAGGAGGCUCCUUUAGUUAAUACCUAAAGUGAGUGGACGUUACUCGCAGAAUAAGCACCGGCUAACUCUGUGCCAGCCGCCGCAGUAACAC
rnacentral:rRNA from 1 species